rnacentral:rRNA from 1 species
GACGAACCGUCCUAACGUUGUUCGGAAUCACUGGGCUUAAAGGGCGCGUAGGCGGGCAGCCAAGUCUGAGGUGAAAUCUUUCGGCUUAACCGGAAAAUAGCCUUGGAUACUGGCAGUCUCGAGGGAGGUAGGGGCAUGUGGAACUUCCGGUGGGGCGGUGAAAUGCGUUGAUAUCGGAAGGAACGCCGGUGGCGAAAGCGACGUGCUGGACCUCUACUGACGCUGAGGCGCGAAAGCCAGGGGAGCAAACGGG